CGUCUACUAUCCGAGUCCGACCUUCCUCGAGUCGACCAUAAUUAAGCUGCUUUCAUCACCGAGGACGUAUGUAGAUAGUGUAGGGAUGUAAGGAACCAAAUUUUUCCAAUACAGAUAGUCCCUCUGUUUAUUGGAGACAUAAUCGGGAGGCGUCUUCAAUGGACGAACAUACAUGCUUGACACUUCUGGAAAUUUGGCCAGUCCUGUUGAUACCCCUAUAAAAGACGUGCCCAUAUGUGAAGAGGUCAAUCCGUUGACAUAUUACCUCCCUUUUGGGGUUCUUUUUUAAGAUGACGUCAUCGAUCACGUGCUUGAUCAUUACUUUUGCUCCCGAGACGAUUCAUAUUAUGACAUGACGUUUAGGUUUCCUG
rnacentral:lncRNA from 1 species